AAAUAGCAUUGCGCUGUACAGCACGUGGACAACCAUCACCACUUUGAUCAACUUCACUCUGGUGUUGGACCUCUCUGAAGUGGCAAGGAGCACUGCAGCCACCGUGUCUCUCUGCAUCCUACUGGUGGAGGUGAUCGGAUGAUUUGGUAUUGAGAACUUCCUGCUGGAUCAGCAUGUGAGGUACAUCCUGACAAUUUACCCUGUGGUGAUCAUUGCUCUGGUUGGAAACGUGACCAAGCACUACGGCCCUGCAGCACCAAGCGCUAACGCUAUCUUCAUGGUUGUGCUCUUGGUGAUUUCCUGUGUGCUCCUGGUGGUGCGAGUCUCCCUGGUGAUCAGGAGAACCAGGAACCAGACCCUUCACCCGGAGGCUCUGACCUCACCCAGCAGCCUGUCCAAGAAGCAGAGGAAGAUACUCAUGUAGACAACUGGUGCACACUUACUUACUUACUGACUUUAUUGUCCCCAUGGGGAAAUGUUGUUGUAGUGUCAUAUACACGUUUAAAGUGGCAUUUAAAUACAAAACAAAAUUGACAAUACAACUUUCAUAACAGUUACAUACCAAUAAAACAUUAAAAAAUAAAUAAUAAUAAUAAUAAUAAUAAAAAAACUAGCCUGUUGGCCUUACUGAGUCGAUAGGAACAUUAGCCCGAGCUAUUUAGGAGGGAUAUCACACCUGGCACAAAUGAUUGUCUGGUUCUGUUUUUCCUGCAGAGGGGUGCCCUAUACCUGCGCCCAGAGGGGAGUAUUUCAAAGUCCAGGAACAGGGGGUGGCUUGGGUCUAAAAUGAUUUUGUGAGCCUUGCGGAGGGUCCUGACCUUAAAGAUCUCAUCCAUGCCUGUCUGUUUGACUCCAAGUACCUUGCUUGCUAUGGUGAUACUCCUUCUCAGCAUAUUUCUCUGGCUGACAGUGGCAUUGCCAAACCAACAAACAAUACAAAAAGUUCAAAUACUCUCAAUGAAAGAUUGGUAAAACAGAGUCAGUAUAGUGCAGUCUACAUGCCACUGUGAUCUGUCUUAUCACCGAAAUGUCAAAGCCCAAUUGCCUAUAACAUACACAGCACAUAUCUGCCUAUUUUACACCAUACACAUUCAUUAUUCAGUUUGGACAAGAAGCAGUGGAAUGUAUUCAUGUAAAAGACUGGUAGCCUGUUUCACACACCGCAAUAUGAUGUCUACCAAAGUGUCAAAGCCUAUACUGCCUUUAAAACGUUUUCCCCUUUACACUUUACAUUCAGUAUUCAAAUAUCUGUAUUUAUCCAAUCACAACAAUUCGCUCAGCUGAUAUAAUACAUAUAACCCAUCUCUGUAUGCUAAUCAAUGCACUGAAUCAUCCAGUGUAAAUAACACUAUAUAUUUUAACAUGAUUCAUUCUUACUAUUUUGCAUAGAUUUUAUCAAUAAAAACACAUAUUUUGCCUAUAGUUGUCACUCCCUGACCUUAGAGAUCCUUUAUUCUCUAUUUUGGUUAGGUCAGGGUGUGACUAGGGUGGGUAGUCUAGUUUUUUUAUUUCUAUGUUGGCCUGGUAUGGUUCCCAAUCAGAGGCUGUCGUUGUCUAUCGUUGUCUCUGAUUGGGGAUCAUACUUUGGCAACCUUUUCCCACUGUUUUUUUUGUAGGAUCUUGUUUUUUGUGUAGCUGCCUGUGAGCAGCCCAGAACGUCACAUUUCAUUUUCUUCUAUAUUGUUUGU